AUACUAGUUUGGUUUAGUUAGUAUAUAUAAUAAUAUACUAACAAGUAGUAUAGUAUAAAAUAAACUUAAGAAUACAUCUUUUUCACUUUGAGUACGUGGUAUUUAAGGAUAAACUUAAUCCAAGCAAGGAGAAGAAGAAGGGGGGGGGACCUGAAUGACAUGGUUGUUGAAGUUGGCACCUUGUUUCUCUUUUCGGGUUCUGUACUCGAUGUAGAGGAGGCUGAUGAGAUAAGCAGUCCAACUGCCGAGAAGCCCAUAGAAGACUUGAAGCACCAGCCCUGACACCAUUCCCAGCUGAGAGAAUGAGUAUGGUAGUGUUAACAGCACUUGUGCCACCUGCCCCCGGCCACACAAACACAUCCAUCCUUCUACUUUCAGAACAGCUAGCAAAAGAGGUCGUCGGCUAAUGGAGUAUAAUCCAAGAAGCAGCUGCUGCUCCAUCAGUUGGCACUUAUACACAUAUUAUUAUGCAGCUGCAAAGAAAGAAAUACUUACUAUAUAUAGAAGAUCGAAGAAAUUAAAAAAAAAAAAAAAGUGAAUGUGGGGGGAUUGAAAGCUAGUGGACAUAUAUAGAAGGGGAACUUAAUAUUUCCCUUUUCUUAGGGGACUUGUAACAUGGGAGCCAACUUUUAUUAUUUUAUAUUGAGUGUGAAAAAGAGUCAGAUUCACUGCAUAUAUAUAUGUGAAACAAAGCAUUACCCCCC